GUGCAGCAGGCGAGAAACCUCCGCAAUACACGAAGGUGUGACGGGGCCAUCCCGAGUGCCGUCCGCUGAGGACGGCUUUUCCCCAGUGUACACAGCUGGGGGAAUAAGGAGAGGGCAAGCCUGGUGUCAGCCGCCGCGGUAAUACCAGCUCUCCGAGUGGUGGGGACGCUUAUUGGGCCUAAAGCAUCCGUAGCCGGCUGGGCAAGUCCUCCGUUAAAUCCAACGAUUCAAUCGUUGGGCUGCGGGGGAUACUGUCCAGCUUGGGGGCGGGAGAGGCCGACGGUAUUCCCGGGGUAGGGGUGAAAUCCUAUAAUCCCGGGAGGACCACCAGUGGCGAAGGCUGUCGGCUAGAACGCGCCCGACGGUGAGGGGAUGAAAGCUGGGGGAGCGAACCGGAUUAGAUACCCGCGUAGU
rnacentral:rRNA from 1 species